GACGAACGCUGGCGGCGUGCCUAAUACAUGCAAGUCGAACGCACUCUCGUUUAGAUUGAAGGAGCUUGCUCCUGAUUGAUAAACAUUUGAGUGAGUGGCGGACGGGUGAGUAACACGUGGGUAACCUGCCCUAAAGUGGGGGAUAACAUUUGGAAACAGAUGCUAAAUACCGCAUAAAACCUAAACACCGCAUGGUGUAGGGUUGAAAGAUGGUUUCGGCUAUCACUUUAGGAUGGACCCGCGGUGCAUUAGUUAGUUGGUGAGGUAAAGGCUCACCAAGACCGUGAUGCAUAGCCGACCUGAGAGGGUAAUCGGCCACACUGGGACUGAGACACGGCCCAGACUCCUACGGGAGGCAGCAGUAGGGAAUCUUCCACAAUGGACGAAAGUCUGAUGGAGCAACGCCGCGUGAGUGAAGAAGGUUUCGGAUCGUAAACUCUGUUGUUGGAGAAGAAUGUAUCUGAUAGUAACUGAUCAGGUAGUGACGGUAUCCAACCAGAAAGCC
rnacentral:rRNA from 1 species